AGGGCUUGGCCGAUUUUGAGGAGUGUGUGUUAUCUCAAGAGUCUUUCCAAGAGCAUUUGGUGUUGUGUGAAGCAUUUGAGGCAUCACACUUGGGGUGCUAGGCUCACAAGGUUUCAAGGAACACAAGCAACAACAAGGUAAGUUAUUCUAUCUAUGAUUCAAGUUAAAAUUGUUCCCCAUGUAUGCUAGAUAGGAAUAUAACCUUGGAAUUCAACUUUGCAUGAUAAUUAGACAAACAUAGAUCCAAGGUUAUUAGGGUUGCAUGUACACUUAGGAAGUGUUAGAAUGCUCAAAACCCAUCAGUGGUAUCAGAGCCUAGGCUUGUUUGUUUGUUAUUUGUGCUUAAAAGUUGAAGAAAGUCGAAAAUUCUGCUGUCUGACUGAUGGACUCGGCGAGUCCAUGGGGAGGACUCGUCGAGUUCAUGUGUAUCUUCAACCUACUCGGCGAGUAGGUUUAUGCACUCGGCGAGUAGGGUCGACAGAGUGCAGAAUUUCGACUUGAGUUGCUGGAAAUGGAUUAGAAUCAUUACCCUAAAAUGUUUUGGUACUUGAAAACUUAUUUUAGAAGGUGUAAUGUCUUUUCUAACUCAUUUACAACAACUAGUUAUCAAAAUUACAAAGAUUAAAUGUGAUUUUGAUUCUUGAAAGUGUUCAUAUUCAUAUUCUUGUUCUUAUGAUGUUUAGAUGAUCAUAGGAAUUAUUUGUAACCUAUGUGGUAGAUUAAUUCAUGAUCAUAAUGUGUUUUAAUGGAGUCCAUAACUUGUCCUCAAGUUAUGGAAAACCAAAAGUCUCUUGGAUUAAAAACCAUUAAAAGAACACAAGAGUUAGGAAAAAUGAAAAGUCCUCAUUUUAUUACUCUAUUAAACUCAUAAGUUACAAGAAAUGAAAAGUUUUGAAAGUUUACAAAACUUGCCCUCAAGUUUUGGAACAAGUAAAGUUAAGUUAAAACUUUAGUUCCAACCCCUAGAAUUUUAAAAGUUAAAAUUCAACCCUUAUACUUAUAUUAUUAUGAUUUAAUAAUUAUAUAUAUAUGUAUAAGAACAAAGUCGUCUUACCGCUAGUACGCCUCAUUCACGAAGCCGGUCUAUAAGGUGGGUAUAAGGUUGUUGCCUAUAAAAUGGUGACUUAAUGGGUGUCCACUCUCACCCACCGCUUGCUUGAUCGGUGGAGGGUCGUUAGCCGAACGGGUAAGACAAGGACUUAUUAAUUCUCAUUCAAAGUAUGAUGAAUAUUAUAAAGUAACUAAAUGUUUUAUUAAAUUCCCAAUCUUAGUUACUUUAGGAAAAAUGUGAAUAAGGUGCUAUUCCAUGAAAUUACACUUUACACUUUGAUUAAGUCGUUGGUGGAGCGUGUGUGGUUAACCGGCACACUAACUUGGACUUAACAAGGUAGGUAAAGGGUGACUUAGGGUUUAUUAUAGUAUCGAUGGAGCGUGUGUGGUUAACCGGCACAUCGAUUGAGUGAUAAACUUUAAGGGUACCAAGUGAUUUGCAUGGUUACUUCACACCUCGUUUUGUGAUCCUCGGUAUCCCAGUCACAAAACUUGGAGGGCACACUCGAGAUUGAAACAUGCCUUUGAAAAGUUCAUUGAAUCUCAAAGAAUCUAGGAAUUUCUAAGAACCAUUCAAAAACCUAAUACUAAAAUAUUGCGGUUUUCGUGGUGGAAAUUGGUGAAUCGUCAUUCACCUACCUUUCAAAUAUGAUAUAGCUUAGAUUACGGCAUACCUCUUCUAAGUUAUAUUAUAUUGUGAUUGGAUCCUAGCCUUAAUAUUACAUUUGGGUGUUUUAUUAAGGACUCUCUUAUAUCUAAACUAAUCUUGUCCUCUUUCCUUCAGAUGUCUUUCAACAAUGCUUCUGGCUCUAAUCCUAAUGGCUCCUUUACCCUUAUGAACUUGUGUGGGAAAGUCACCUUUGAUGGAUCCAACUUCAAUGAGUGGAUCAGAAACAUCAGGAUGAUUACCCGCUACGAGGACAAAGAAUAUGUCCUUGACAAGGAGCUUAAGGAGAUUGAUGAGUCCACUGCAACUCCUCAGGAGAUCGCUGAAUUUCGGGCACAUGAAAGGGAUGCUACGAAAGUGGCUUGCAUCAUGAUGGCCACGAUGACAGCGGAACUCCAAAAGUCUUAUGAGGAUUUCUACCCUUAUGACAUGCACCAAGAUUUGAUGGAAAGAUACCAUCAAAGUGCAAGACAAGAGAGGUAUGAAAUCAUCUGCUCCAUGAUAACAACCAUGAUGAAGGACGGGGAAUCCGUCACGAGCCACAUGCAGAAAAUGCAAAGGUAUGUGGAUCGUUUGCUGAAGCUUAAUGUGAACUUCCCGGAGGAUCUUGCAAUAGAUAUUAUUUUGCAUUCCUUACCAUCGUGCUAUGAUCAAUUCCGCAUGACAUAUCACAUGAACAAGGAAGAAGUCACCCUCAGCAAACUUCAGGGACUUCUCAAGACCGCAGAAACAGGUCUUAAGGGGAAGUCGGUUGCUAUCACUCCUACUCAAAACUCUACUCCGGUUUUGGCAAUCGGGAAAAGUCGAGGGAGGAAGAGAAAGAGCUCUUCUAAGGGUACCAAGGCUCGGACCCUUGAUGGCUCUUCUUCAAGUGGAACCAAGAAAGGUUUCGUUACUCCUUCUUCUGACCCAAAAGAGGCUGAAUGCUUCUAUUGCCAUGAAAAAGCUCAUUGGAAGCGGAACUGCCCAAAAUACCAGCAAGAUGUGAAGGAUGGGAAAGUUAAACCCAACCAUGCAGGUAUUUACACUAUCAUUUCUAAUAACUCACCCCAUUCUAAUUCUUGGGUCCUUGAUACCGGGUGUGGUAUUCACAUUUGUUGUGACUUGCAGGGACUAAGAAGAAGUGAGGAUGUGGAGCAAGGAAGGAUAAACUUGAUCAUGGGGAAUAGGAAAGCUAUACCUGUUACCAAGAUUGGAGUUUAUACUUUAUCGCUAAGUAGUGGGUUUAGUUUAGAUUUGAAUAAGUGUUGUUAUUCGCCAGGAAUGGCAAGAAAUAUUAUUUCCUUUCAUGCUUUGUACAAACAAGGGUUUACCUUUUCAUUUAAUAAUGAAGUUGGUUCUAUAGAUGUUUUCUAUAAUAAUGUCUUUUAUUUUAAAGCAUUACCUUGUGAUGGUGUGUAUGAAGCUGUAUCUGUUGUAGAUAACUUGGGAAAUAAUGUUUUGUGUAUUGAUUCUACUAAUAAUAACUUGGAUAAAGCAUCUUUAUGGCAUUGUCGUCUUGGACAUAUAAGCAAGAAACGCAUAGGCCAACUCCAAAAGGAUGGAGUCUUGGAGUCGUUUGACCUAAAGUCAGAUGAUAGUUGCGAAUCAUGCUUACUUGGAAAAAUGACAAAGUCACCCUUCACAGGUUCGUGUGAGAGGGGUGAAGGUUUGUUGGACCUUAUACACACGGAUGUGUGUGGACCAUUCAAACAUGCCACAAGGGAUGCUAAUCGUUAUUAUUUGACUUUUACUGAUGAUUAUAGUAGAUAUGGAUAUGUCUACUUGAUCAAGCAUAAGUCAGAGACUUUCGAGAGGUUUAAGGAAUUUAAACAGGAAGUCGAGAAUCAAUUGGGCAGGAACAUUAAGAUGCUUCGAUCCGAUCGUGGUGGUGAGUAUCUUAGUUCAGAGUUCCUCGACUAUCUAAGGGAAUGUGGGAUAGUCUCACAAUUGACACCUCCCAGGACACCACAGUUGAAUGGUGUGGCUGAGAGGCGUAAUCGAACCUUGUUAGAUAUGGUUCGUUCCAUGAUGAGUCGAGCUACGCUACCAAUCUCAUUCUGGGGGUAUGCCUUAGAGACUGCCGCCCAUAUUCUUAAUCUAGUCCCUACAAAGAAAGUUGCCAAAACUCCUCACGAGAUGUGGACUGGUAAAGUACCUAAACUAGACCACAUCAAGAUUUGGGGUUGCGAGGCUUUCGUGAGACGCGAGACUCAUGAUAAGCUCGAACCUCGAAGCGAGAGGUGUAUUUUCAUCGGUUACCCACAGCGAUCCUUUGGUUACCUCUUCUACAGACCUAGUGACAAUGUGGUCUUUGUAGCAAGAAGAGGAGUCUUUCGAGAAAGAGAGUUUAUAAGCCAAGGAGACAGUGGGAGGCAAAUUGAUCUUGAAGAAAUUCAAGAAUCAAGCGGUGAAGGAACUUCAAACUCUAGCCCUCAACUUGAGGAGGAAACUCCUGUUGAGCCAAUUGACAAAUCUGUACCUCUGAGACGUUCCACGAGAGUUAGGAGUGCACCUGAGCAUUACUAUGGAUUCCAUAUUACUGCAGAAGGUGAGACACUUAUUAGUGAUGAGACACUAGUAAGUCAAGAUGACCCUAACAGCUACGAGGAAGCCAUGGCAGGCCCCGAGUCUGCUAAAUGGAAAGAGGCUAUGGAUAGCGAGAUACAAUCCAUGUAUGACAAUCAAGUUUGGAACUUGGUUGAAAAUGUACCAGGUCGUAAGACAGUAGGGUGCAAAUGGGUCUUCAAGAAGAAGACCGACAUGGAUGGUAAAGUACACACUUAUAAGGCUAGACUGGUUGCAAAGGGCUUCUCUCAAAUUCCUGGAGUGGAUUAUGAUGAGACCUUUUCUCCGGUAGCCAAGAUUAAGUCUAUUCGGGUUCUGUUAGCCAUAGCUGCAUUUCAUGACUAUGAAAUAUGGCAGAUGGAUGUCAAAACCGCUUUCCUUAAUGGAAAGUUGGCUGAAGAUGUUUACAUGAGUCAGCCAGAGGGUUUUGUCAGCAACGAGUACCCUAAUAGAGUGUGUAAGCUUGAGAAAUCCAUUUAUGGAUUGAAGCAAGCACCUCGCAGAUGGAAUCUUUGCUUUGAUGAAAAGGUCAAGGAAUUUGGCUUUUCUAGGAGUGAAGAUGAAUCUUGUGUGUAUGUCAAGGCUAGUGGGAGUAUAGUUAGCUUUUUGGUAUUGUAUGUGGAUGACAUACUACUCAUAGGAAACGACAUUCCAACCCUGCAGGAAGUAAAGUCCUGGCUUGGGAAGUGUUUCGCUAUGAAGGACCUUGGUGAAGCUGCCUAUAUUCUAGGGAUAAGAAUCUUGAGAGAUCGGAGUAAAAGACUAAUUGGACUUAGUCAGAGUACCUACUUGGAUAAGGUGCUGAAGAGAUUCAGCAUGCAGGAUUCCAAGAAAGGAGAGUUACCCAUCCAGAGUAACACCAGAUUGAGUAAGACACAAAGCCCUAGCACUGAGGCUGAGAUAGCAGAAAUGAGUCGAACACCUUACGCUUCGGCUGUAGGAUCGAUCAUGUAUGCUAUGACGUGUACUCGACCCGAUGUAGCUUUUGCCUUGAGCAUGGUUAGCAGGUAUCAGGCGAACCCUGGCAAGGCACACUGGACUGCGGUAAAGAAUAUCCUCAAGUACCUACGGAGGACUAAGGACUGGGUCCUUACCCUCGGUGGGAGUGAUGACUUGAGAGUUGUAGGGUAUAGUGAUGCUAGCUUCCAGACUGAUAGGGAUAAUUUCCGCUCUCAGUCGGGCUGGGUCUUUACCCUAAACGGAGGAGCAAUUUCUUGGAAGAGUUCCAAGCAAGAGACAGUGGCAGAUUCUACUUGUGAAUCAGAGUAUAUUGCAGCUAGUGAAGCAGCAAAGGAGGCGAUAUGGCUGAAGAACUUCAUUGGAGACCUUGGAGUUGUACCAGCUAUUAAAGAGCCAAUGGAAAUUUUCUGUGAUAGUGAAAGUGCUGUUGCCUUAGCCAAGGAACCAAGGGAUCAUGGGAGAUCCAGACACAUCGACAGAAAAUACCAUUUCAUUAGACAUCGGAUCGAAGAAGGACUCCUCGUGGCAAAGAGGGUAUCAUCGGAUGAGAACCCAGCAGAUCCCCUCACGAAGGGACUGAGUAGGGUUAAGCAUCUCCAGCAUGCUCGGAGCAUAGGGCUGAAGGAUGAUAUAAGUUUUAGUAGUUAGAUAACCCAGAAAUUUGUAAAGUGUAAUUGACAUUUGAUGAUGAAUAAAAGGUGUUUUAUUUAUGAGUAAAGUGUUGCUAUCUCUUGUCGAUCGUUUACUAUAUUUCUUUUGCAUGUUUUGACUUCCAGAAUAAUUUUGUUUGGUAUAACAUAUUAUUCAAACCUCCACAGUCGGUCAUAUGUUGGAAGUAGAUAUGAAUCAAGACUGUCAUGUUUGGUUGUAGAGGUCUUGGACAAGGCUACAACAAUCAUGAGUGCUCAUAAGUUCUGAGCAUUGGACUCAACCCACGCUCACUGGAAUCACUUCAUGGAAUUCUAUCUCGAGUGAUCGUGAGACGGUAAUAUCAUAUAAGUCUUCAAACCUAGAGAUAUGAUUUGUUACUUACAAGUUGGUUAUGCAUUGACUGUACGAAACCGCAUUGGUAACUCGAUGUUAUAAAACGUACUUUUGUGUGUAAUUCAAUGAGUGGUAGAACAAACAUAUGAGUCGAAGUUUAUCUGUUCCUUCUUGGAUUAGAAGCUGAUAUCUGGGCCCCUCGAUGAUUUUGUUUUGACCCAUGUACCGGGCCCGGUCAGAACUAAGUUGAUGUGUUCAAUUAAGUUCUAUGUCAAACAAAUCGGAAAUCGGGAAACAAAUGCUGGACAAUAAGCAAGACAAUGUUCCAUGUAUUUGUCCGGCUGAUAUCUAGAACGGAGGAUUAUAUGAUCACUUAUCUUAAAUGGCGUACCAUCAUCUUCUCAGUUCCGAGAGACCUUGAAAGAGCUACGAUUGCCGGUCGGUUCCUGAAGUACUAGAGAUAUAGUUAUUAGACUUAUCCAAGUGGGAGACUGUUGGAUAAGGUGUCUAAGUCCAUAACUAUUUCGGGCUUGUACUUGACCCGACCCGGCAUGGUCCAUUUGGGUUGCAUGGCACCAUGCAAUUGGAUAGACUAAAUGAGAGAAAUAACACUUGGAGAUUAUUAAUAUAUUAUAAGUUCUAAUAUAUUAAUAAUAUUAUUUGAUUAGUUGAUCAAAGAAUUAAUUUGGAAUUAAUUAAGUGAUCAAAGGAUAACUAAUUAAAUAUAUGGGUUGAUUAUGUAAAUCAUCCAUAUCUUGUAUAGUGGGCUAAGAGGCUCCAUGGAUUAUCAAGUUGGGUUCUACCCAUAGGAUGCUCCAUGGAUGCUCCAUGGGAGUUACAAACCCAUGGGUCAUGGAAAUGAAGAGUCAUGAUACAUUAGGGUUUACAUGGUGUAACCCUAGAUGUGUCAACACUAUAUAAGGAUCAUAUUCUCCACCAAAAUCGGCUACACAAGUUAGACAAGGAAACUAGAGGGCUUGGCCGAUUUUGAGAAGUGUGUGUUAUCUCAAGAGUCUUUCCAAGAGCAUUUGGUGUUGUGUGAAGCAUUUGAGGCAUCACACUUGGGGUGCUAGGCUUACAAGGUUUCAAGGAACACAAGCAACAACAAGGUAAGUUAUUCUAUCUAUGACUCAAGUUAAAAUUGUUCCCCAUGUAUGCUAGAUAGGAAUAUAACCUUGGAAUUCAACUUUGCAUGAUAAUUAGACAAACAUAGAUCCAAGGUUAUUAGGGUUGCAUGUACACUUAGGAAGU
rnacentral:lncRNA from 1 species